GAUGAAGAACGCAGCGAAAUGCGACAAGUAAUGUGAAUUGCAGAAUUCCGUGAAUCAUCGAAUCUUUGAACGCACAUUGCGCCCGCCAGUAUUCUGGCGGGCAUGCCUGUUCGAGCGUCAUUUCAACCAUCAAGCCCUGCUUGCGUUGGGGUCCUGCGGCUGCCCGCAGGCCCUGAAAACCAGUGGCGGGCUCGCUAGUCACACCGAGCGCAGUAAUACAUCUCGCUUUGGGCGUGCGGCGGGUUCUUGCCGUUAAACACCCCCUUUUUACCAAGGUUGACCUCGGAUCAGGUAGGAAUACCCGCUGAACUUAAGCAUAUCAAUAAGCGGAGGA
rnacentral:misc_RNA from 1 species